rnacentral:rRNA from 1 species
AUAGCAAACUCCGAAUACCAGUGAGAGUGAGCACGGGAGACAGUCCUCGGGUGCUAACGUCCGAGGGCAAGAGGGAAACAACCCAGACCGCCAGCUAAGGUCCCCAAGAUAUGGCUAAGUGGGAAACGAAGUGGGAAGGCAUAGACAGUCAGGAUGUUGGCUUAGAAGCAGCCAUCAUUUAAAGAAAGCGUAAUAGCUCACUGAUCGAGUCGUCCUGCGCGGAAGAUGUAACGGGGCUCAAGCCAUACACCGAAGCUGCGGAUCGUAGCAAUACGAUGGUAGAGGAGCGUUCUGUAAGCCUGUGAAGGUGUCUCGUAAGGGAUGCUGGAGGUAUCAGAAGUGCGAAUGCUGACAUGAGUAGCGUUAAAAACGGGUGAAAAAGCCCGUUCGCCGAAAACCCAAGGUUUCCUGCGCAACGUUCAUCGGCGCAGGGUGAGUCGGCCCCUAAGGCGAGGCAGAGAUGCGUAGUCGAUGGGGAAGCUGGUUAAUAUUCCAGCACCGAUUGUG